UUUGAAAAGAACAUCCUCCUAAUUGGUUGAAAUUUGUCAGCUGGGACAAAAAUGGCGCCGUUGACCGUGGAGUUUCCGCAGCAACAACAAUGUUAAGAAGUUACGCCUAAAUCAGCCCAGACGUCACGAGGACAAUAAGACCCUGAGACAUGGAUUCAUCAGAAUUAUAAAGUUCUCAUCUAACGGACUGAAACCAGGAACUUUGUGAAGACGGACGUGACGGCUUCACACAGUCCCAUCAAAAACCAGCAGAUGAAGACGACUGACAGAGUGAGCAGGAAGGCAGACGACACGAUGACAUCUACUGAACGCUGAGGACCUCGUCUCUGCAAACCAAGAGACACCGCACUCUGCUUCCUGCACAUCCUGCCUGGAGGUUUGCACUCGCCCAUACCUGCGUCUCUUCCCUCCACUGCUGGAGAC